rnacentral:rRNA from 1 species
AACGUACGCUGGCGGCACGCCUAACACAUGCAAGUCGAACGAAGUAGCAAUACUUAGUGGCAGACGGGUGAGUAACAUGUAGGUAUCUGCCCUUUGGCCUGGAAUAACACGAGGAAACUUGUGCUAAUACCGGAUAAGUCUUUACGGAGAAAGCUUUAUGCACCAUUGGAUGAGCCUGCACUUGAUUAGUUUGUUGGUGGGGUAAUGGCCUACCAAGACUGUGAUCAAUAGCUGAUUUGAGAGGAUGAUCAGCCACAUUGGGACUGAGACACGGCCCAAACUCCUACGGGAGGCAGCAGUGGGGAAUCUUGCACAAUGGAGGAAACUCUGAUGCAGCGAUGCCGCGUGAGUGAAGAAGGCCCUUGGGUUGUAAAGCUCUUUCGUCGGGGAAGAAAAUGACUGUACCCGAAUAAGAAGGUCCGGCUAACUUCGUGCCAGCAGCCGCGGUAAUACGAAGGGACCUAGCGUAGUUCGGAAUUACUGGGCUUAAAGAGUUCGUAGGUGGUUGAAAAAGUUAGUGGUGAAAUCCCAGAGCUUAACUCUGGAACUGCCAUUAAAACUUUUCAGCUAGAGUAUGAUAGAGGAAAGCAGAAUUUCUAGUGUAGAGGUGAAAUUCGUAGAUAUUAGAAAGAAUACCAAUUGCGAAGGCAGCUUUCUGGAUCAUUACUGACACUGAGGAACGAAAGCAUGGGUAGCGAAGAGGAUUAGAUACCCUCGUAGUCCAUGCCGUAAACGAUGUGUGUUAGACGUUGGAAAUUUAUUUUCAGUGUCGCAGGGAAACCGAUAAACACACCGCCUGGGGAGUACGACCGCAAGGUUAAAACUCGAAUGAAUUGACGGGGACCCGCACAAGUAGUGGAGCAUGUGGUUUAAUUCGAAGAUACGCGCAGAACCUUACCAACACUUGACAUGUUCGUCGCGACUCUAAGAGAUUAGAGUUUUCGGUUCGGCCGGACGAAACACAGGUGCUGCAUGGCUGUCGUCAGCUCGUGUCGUGAGAUGUUGGGUUAAGUCCCGCAACGAGCGCAACCCUCACUUUUAGUUGCCAUCAUUAAGUUGGGCACUCUGAAAGAACUGCCAGUGAUAAGCUGGAGGAAGGUGGGGAUGACGUCAAGUCCUCAUGGCCCUUACGUGUUGGGCUACACACGUGCUACAAUGGUAUCUACAACAGGAAGCAAGACUGCGAAGUUAAGCAAAUCCCUAAAAGAUACCUCAGUUCGGAUUGCACUCUGCAACUCGAGUGCAUGAAGCUGGAAUUACUAGUAAUCGUGGAUCAGCGUGCCACGGUGAAUGCGUUCCCGGGUCU